GGUCCUGGAAAGCGGCGAACGGGUGAGUAACGCGUGGGAAACCUGCCCCCGAGAUGGGGAUAACCCUCCUAACGGAGGGCUAAUACCGAAUGACACGAUCCAGUCGCAUGGUGGACGUCAAAGGUGGCCUCUGCUUGCAAGCUACCACUUGGGGAUGGUCCCGCGUCCCAUUAGCUUGUUGGUGGGGUAACGGCCCACCAAGGCGACGAUGGGUAGCUGGUCUGAGAGGAUGGUCAGCCACACCGGGACUGAGAUACGGCCCAGACUCCUACGGGAGGCAGCAGUCGAGAGGCUUCGGCAAUGGGGAAACCCUGACCGAGCGACGCCGCGUGGGGAUGAGGCCGUUAGGUCGUAAACCCCUUUCAGUGGGAAGAAAAGCAUGUGCGUUAACAGCGCUCGUGCUUGACGGUACCGCAUAAGAAGCUCCGGCCAACUCCGUGCCAGCAGCCGCGGUAACACGGGGGGAGCAAACGUUGUUCGGAAUUACUGGGCGUAAAGGGCGUGUAGGCGGCCCGGCAAGUGGGGCGUGAAACCCCUGGCUCAACCAGGGAACUGCCCCCAGACUGCCGGGCUUAGGGUAGAGAGACGGGAAUCCGGUGUACGGUGAAUGCAUGAUAUGGAGGAACACCAGUGGCGAAGGCGCCUAUCUGGCCUGCUCCUGACGCUCAGGCGCGAAAGCUAGGGGAGCAAACAGGAUUAGAUACCCUGGUAGUCCUAGCCGUAAACGGUGAGCACUAGGUGUAGGAGGCAUCGACCCCUCCUGUGCCGCAGCUAACGCAUUAAGUGCUCCGCCUGGGGAGUACGCCCGCAAGGGUGAAACUCAAAGGAAUUGACGGGGGCCCGCACAAGCGGUGGAGCAUGUGGUUUAAUUCGAUGCAACGCGAAGAACCUUACCGGGGUUUGACAUGCACAGGACAGGUGUGGAAACACACCCUCCCUUCGGGGCCGGCGCA
rnacentral:rRNA from 1 species